UAGAGUCCGUACCCAUCUAGAGUCCCAAACUAUAAUUUGGACUAUAACCAAGAGUUACAUCAGAGUCCAAACUGGGGUCCAAACAAGACCUAAUCUGGACCGGAUAUGGGUGGGACUUCAGAAGAUCUACGGGUUAGACCAUAGUCUAGACCCAUCUAGACUCAUAGGCCAGAGUCCAGACUACAGUGGGGCAAGACCCUGGUCCACAUCCCAGACUGGAGCUAGGACUACAGCGGCACUAGACCCUGGCCCAGAUCCCAGAUCUGAGUUUGGACUACAGCGGCACUCGACCCUGGCCCAGAUCCCAGAUCUGAGCUUGGAUUUGCCCUUGAGGUGCCAUGGUGAGGUGGAGGUUCUUCCUGGAGGUUUUUCUGUGCCUCUGGUGCUCUGUGAACGCACAAAAUUGGCGAGACAGAUUUGAGCCUUUUGAGCGCCACCUACAACU